ensembl:ncRNA T19D2.6 ncRNA
AAAUUUUUUAAAUGGGAAAAAAAGUGAAAAGGAAAUGUCAUAAUAAGAGUGAUGGUUGGCAGAGGUGGGCCGACACACACGCACACGCAAGAGACGUGACUGAAGAAGAACCCAAAGUCUUUGGGAAACAAAAAUGAUGACGGAGA